CCUCCUACCAGCAGAACACGCAGGGGGGGGGGGGGGGGGAUGCACUCCAUCGUCCGCACAGGCUGGCCACUUUCACUUUCUAUUCCAUGUCCUGGCUGCAGCUGCAGCCUGCUUGUGAUUUAUGACAUGAUGCUGUUCUCCGUUCUCCCUGCUCUCCAGCCCUCCCCCUCUACAACAUGCUGAUGCAGGGGCUUGAGUGUGGUCAGAGCAGGCCGAGUUUAACUCUUUGAAACCUGUUUUCUAAUGUAUUGAAGAAUGCUGCUGCUGGCCUACAAGACAAUUGAAGAUGAAGAUUUAAAGUUCCCUCUAAUAUAUGGAGAAGGAAAAAAGGCUCGUGUAAUAGCAACAAUAGGUGUAGGACUUGGUGAUCAUGAUUUGAAAGUCCAUGACUCCAAUAUUUACAUUAAACCCUUUCUCUCUUCAAUUC